rnacentral:rRNA from 1 species
UACGUAGGGUGCAAGCGUUGUCCGGAAUCAUUGGGCGUAAAGCGCGCGUAGGUGGCUUCGUAAGUCCGUUGUGAAAGUCAAAGGCUCAACCUUUGAAAGCCGAUGGAUACUGUCGGGCUAGAGUGCGGGAGAGGCGAGUGGAAUUCCUGGUGUAGCGGUGAAAUGCGCAGAUAUCAGGAGGAACACCGGUGGCGAAGGCGGGUCUCUGGGCCGAUACUGACGCUGAGGAGCGAAAGCGUGGGGAGCGAACAGG